GACGAACGCUGGCGGCGUGCUUAACACAUGCAAGUCGAACGGAAAGGCCCCUUUGGGGGUACUCGAGUGGCGAACGGGUGCGUAACACGUGAGUAACCUUCCCUUGACUUCGGGAUAACUUCAGGAAACUGGGGCUAAUACCGGAUAGGAAUCCUUGCUGCAUGGGGGGGGUUGGAAAGCUUCGGCGGUUUUGGAUGGACUCGCGGCUUAUCAGCUUGUUGGUGGGGUAGUGGCUUACCAAGGCGUUGACGGGUAGCCGGCCUGAGAGGGCGACCGGCCACAUUGGGACUGAGAUGCGGCCCAGACUCCUACGGGAGGCAGCAGUGGGGAAUAUUGCACAAUGGGCGGCAGCCUGAUGCAGCAACGCCGCGGGCGGGAUGACGGCCUUCGGGUUGUAAACCGCUUUCAGCAGGGGCGAAGCUUGUGGUGACGGUACCUGCAGAAGAAGCACCGGCUAACUACGUG
rnacentral:rRNA from 1 species